CACAUGGCGCCUGCACGAUACAACAUUAGAAUACAAGUUGUACUAAUCAUUAAGGUGGUUGUCAGCAUGACUUUCAACUGCACAAUAUGCAUGAAUUCAAAAACGUUCUGCUGAGUUGGCCCUAGAAAAUGUAGCCUAGAUAGUAUCACUUCUUUAUGUCCCUUGUGAAACCGGUUCUACUACUAGCAAGUAAGUACACUUCUCUCCACAGUUCUGAAGGAAAUACAUUCACCCAAAACAACUUUUUACUGAAUUACCUUAGACAUAUCAUUUACAAUUGAUAGUCUUUUAACAUCCCCCACAAACCAAAUAGUUGUAACCUACAACUAGAUGCGAACUCAUCGAACUGAACAAAUCGAACUGAACAAAUAAAAGAGCAAUGGACUUUUAAAAACGUCCCUAACAUUCCCUGUAUACAACUGAACCUUGGCUAUUUUCAAUUCUCUGCCUGUUUCAUUAAAAAAAACUGCAAAAAUACUGCAGGGACUUUCCUAGUCAUAUAACACAUGCAGAACCUGCUCCACCUGUCCCACCAUGCCUUACUGCCCUCCUGAUCUAACAGAACUGGACAGGGGAAAACAAAUACCAUAAUGCUUUCACCUGUCUCCUGUUUAGAUCAAUGACAAUGAAAGAAAGGAGAUAGAGGAAGCCACUGUAGACUAUUGAGGUGCACCCCUACAGUAGGCUGUGGCUGCCUUGUUAUCAGUCUUGUGUUUCUCUCCCUCAGGAAUGGCAGACCAAGGAGCUGCUCUCACUUAUGACUCCACUGUCUGAUGAAGAAACAAAGCCGCUUGAUGACAAUGGAUCCUCCUCAAGAGGUCAAAAGGGCAGACUAACAUCCCAGGCAGUAACAUCCCAGUCUGCUUCAGUGGUCCAGAAAUCAGGAGCAAACACAGAAGAGAUGGAUAGUGAUGAUUCGCUCACCCCCUGCCAUGUCAGCUGACCAGGAAUGAGGCAAGCCGCCUCGUUACCCCUGAGACUGUCUGGAGGCCUUCCUCUCCUCUGAGGACCCAGCGAGGGUGGAGCACAGUGAGACACUUCUACAGCCAGAGAGUCAAGAAAUGGAACAGCAAGGCCACAGAACAUGACAUACGCAGGCAGAGCUGUGGGAGACUACCUGAAGCAUUCCCCUGGUAGAGCCAGAGGAUGGUGUUUACCAAACCACCACCAAACAUCUUCAACAGGCUUGAAAAGUGGGAUUGAUCUGUUUGAUCCAUUUUUUUUGUUUCAGUUUUCAUUAGUUGAAUCCUUCGACUUAUUAAUGAUAAAAAUAAAUGUUUUUAACAAAAAUGCACUGGAUUCGUUCAAAGGUGAUACUAAACAUCCAUCAUUUUGACACAGAGGAAGAUAUACUACAUUUAUACAGUUUUUGAUUGAAAGAUGGACCAAAAUAUGUGUUACUUUAGCACAUUUCUGUUCAUUAGUUUUGCAAGAAUGUUGAUUGGUCGGUCAUUGGGUUCAUUAGUACAGCAAUAUGUUGAUGCCAUUGAUUAAAAGAGUAAGAAUAUGAUGCAAUAUUUGACACUUGUUUUACUUCAUUGUUUGCAAACAAUAUAAUUGUAAAAAAAAAAAGUCAGUUGGUUGCAUAAAUAAUGAUGAUUACUACAUGUUAUAUGAAAUAUCAAAACGGAAUUGUUCAAAUGUAAUGGCUAUAAUUCACUUAAUGUUAAGGUAUGGAAUAAUAAAUGUAUCCUUUUUCACGCUGGAUGUUUGAAAUAUGAGAAGGUGAUGAUUCGAGUCAUAGUUCUUCAUUAGUGGAAUAAAGACAAUUAGCACUAA